GACGAACGCUGGCGGCGUGCCUAAUACAUGCAAGUCGAACGCAUUUUCUUUCACCGUAGCUUGCUACACCGAAAGAAAAUGAGUGGCGAACGGGUGAGUAACACGUGGGUAACCUGCCCAUCAGCGGGGGAUAACACUUGGAAACAGGUGCUAAUACCGCAUAAUUCCAUUUACCGCAUGGUAAAUGGAUGAAAGGCGCUUUUGCGUCACUGAUGGAUGGACCCGCGGUGCAUUAGCUAGUUGGUGGGGUAACGGCCUACCAAGGCUGCGAUGCAUAGCCGACCUGAGAGGGUGAUCGGCCACACUGGGACUGAGACACGGCCCAGACUCCUACGGGAGGCAGCAGUAGGGAAUCUUCGGCAAUGGACGCAAGUCUGACCGAGCAACGCCGCGGGAGUGAAGAAGGUUUUCGGAUUGUAAAACUCUGUUGUUAGAGAAGAACAGGGAUGAGAGUGGAAAGUUCAUCCCUUGACGGUAUCUAACCAGAAAGCCACGGCUAACUACGUG
rnacentral:rRNA from 1 species